rnacentral:rRNA from 1 species
AUGGAGGCAAGGCAGCAUGCCGGCGGCGCGGCCCCGUGCGCCAACGGCUGCGGGUUCUUCGGCGGCGGCGCGGCGACAAACGAUCUCUGCUCCAACUGCUACAAGGAACAGCAGCUGCUGGACCUCAUGGCCUUUGACGGCGCCGUCAUGUCCGGCCUCAGGUCGCUGAGGCUGGCGAAAGCUGGAGGCGUGGAGGAGACGCCCGAGAGGACGGCGGGGGCGACCAAGAACCGAUGCGAUGCGUGCCAGCAAACGGUGGGGCUGCUGGGAUUUGUGUGCCGGUGGUGGGCCACGGCCACCUGCUGCGGGGCGCACCGCCAUGCCGGCGCACACGUCUGCUUCUUCGACUACAAGGCAGCCGGCCGCGAGCAGGUCGCGCGCAAGAACCCGCUUGUCGUCGCGCCCAAGAUGGCGAGGAUUUCUUGUUUCUAA